CGUGGGGUAGGGGAGCGUUCUGUAAGCCGUUGAAGGUGGUCUGUAAGGGCUGCUGGAGGUAUCAGAAGUGCGAAUGCUGACAUGAGUAACGAUAAAGGGAGUGAAAAACUCCCUCGCCGGAAGACCAAGGGUUCCUGUCCAACGUUAAUCGGGGCAGGGUAAGUCGACCCCUAAGGCGAGGCCGAAAGGCGUAGUCGAUGGGAAACGGGUUAAUAUUCCCGUACUUCUUACAAUUGCGAUGGGGGGACGGAGAAGGCUAGGUGGGCCUGGCGACGGUUGUCCAGGUUCAAGUACGUAGGCGGAAGAAUUAGGUAAAUCCGGUUCUUCAUUAACGCUGAGAUACGAUGUCGAGCUACUACGGUAGUGAAGUCAUUGAUGCCAUGCUUCCAGGAAAAGCCUCUAAGCUUCAGAUUGUAAGGAAUCGUACCCCAAACCGACACAGGUGGUCGGGUAGAGAAUACCAAGGCGCUUGAGAGAACUCGGGUGAAGGAACUAGGCAAAAUGGUACCGUAACUUCGGGAGAAGGUACGCUCUUAUCAGUGAAGUCCCUUGCGGAUGGAGCAGACGAGAGUCGCAGAUACCAGGUGGCUGCAACUGUUUAUUAAAAACACAGCACUGUGCAAAAUCGUAAGAUGACGUAUACGGUGUGACGCCUGCCCGGUGCCGGAAGGUUAAUUGAUGGGGUUAGACUUCGGUCGAAGCUCUUGAUCGAAGCCCCGGUAAACGGCGGCCGUAACUAUAACGGUCCUAAGGUAGCGAAAUUCCUUGUCGGGUAAGUUCCGACCUGCACGAAUGGCGUAAUGAUGGCCACGCUGUCUCCACCCGAGACUCAGUGAAAUUGAAAUCGCUGUGAAGAUGCAGUGUACCCGCGGCUAGACGGAAAGACCCCGUGAACCUUUACUACAGCUUGGCACUGAACAUUGAACCUACAUGUGUAGGAUAGGUGGGAGACUUUGAAACCGCGUCGCUAGAUGUGGUGGAGUCGUCCUUGAAAUACCACCCUUGUAGUUUUGAUGUUCUAACGUUGGUCCCUGAAUCGGGAUUACGGACAGUGCCUGGUGGGUAGUUUGACUGGGGCGGUCUCCUCCCAAAGAGUAACGGAGGAGCACGAAGGUGGGCUAAACACGGUUGGACAUCGUGUGGUUAGUGCAAUGGCAUAAGCCCGCUUGACUGCGAGAAUGACAAUUCGAGCAGGUGCGAAAGCAGGUCAUAGUGAUCCGGUGGUUCUGAAUGGAAGGGCCAUCGCUCAACGGAUAAAAGGUACUCCGGGGAUAACAGGCUGAUACCGCCCAAGAGUUCAUAUCGACGGCGGUGUUUGGCACCUCGAUGUCGGCUCAUCACAUCCUGGGGCUGAAGUCGGUCCCAAGGGUAUGGCUGUUCGCCAUUUAAAGUGGUACGCGAGCUGGGUUUAGAACGUCGUGAGACAGUUCGGUCCCUAUCUGCCGUGGGCGUUGGAAAAUUGAAGGGGGCUGCUCCUAGUACGAGAGGACCGGAGUGGACGAACCUCUGGUGUUCGGGUUGUCAUGCCAAUGGCAUUGCCCGGUAGCUAAGUUCGGAAUCGAUAACCGCUGAAAGCAUCUAAGCGGGAAGCGAGCCCUGAGAUGAGUUUUCCCUGACGCUUUAAGCGUCCUAAAGGGUUGUUCAAGACUAGAACGUUGAUAGGCAGGGUGUGUAAGCGCUGUGAGGCGUUGAGCUAACCUGUACUAAUUGCCCGUGAGGCUUAACCAU
rnacentral:rRNA from 1 species